rnacentral:rRNA from 1 species
GGCGCAGCCUGACGGAGCACGCCGCGUGAGCGAAGAAGGCCUUCGGGUUGUAAAGCUCUGUCCAGGGGGAAGAAGGAUGACGGUACCCCUGGAGGAAGCCCCGGCUAACUACGUGCCAGCAGCCGCGGUAAAACGUAGGGGGCGAGCGUUGUCCGGAAUUACUGGGCGUAAAGGGCGUGUAGGCGGCGAUGCAAGUCAGGAGUGAAACCCAGCGGCUCAACCGCUGGCUGGCUUCUGAAACUGCAUUGCUUGAGUGCAGUAGAGGGGAGUGGAAUUCCCAGUGUAGCGGUGAAAUGCGUAGAUAUUGGGAGGAACACCAGUGGCGAAAGCGGCUCCCUGGCCUGUAACUGACGCUGAGGCGCGAAAGCGUGGGUAGCAAACAGGAUUAGAUACCCUGGUAGUCCACGCCGUAAACGAUGGGUGCUAGGUGUUGCGGGUAUCGACCCCCGCAGUGCCGCAGUUAACGCAAUAAGCACCCCGCCUGGGGAGUACGGCCGCAAGGCUGAAACUCAAAGGAAUGGACGGA